UUUGUCGACAACACCAGAAAAAUAGCCGUGCUCUCACGUGCCGGCCGAGGACACGGAAAGUGUGGCCGUUAUAAUAGUCCCCAAUUUUAAUUAUUGUCAUCCAUGAUAUCUAUCUUGCUGGAUUUUGAAACAGUAGUCAACCAGGACUCCCAUGGUAUAAGGGAAACUUUAAUACAUUCCUGGAAUCUGGAUAAUUCUGGUCACUCCACACUGAAUGGUU